rnacentral:rRNA from 1 species
GAUGAACGCUGGCGGCGUGCCUAAUACAUGCAAGUCGAGCGAACAGACGAGGAGCUUGCUCCUCUGAUGUUUGCGGCGGACGGGUGAGUAACACGUGGAUAACCUACCUAUAAGACUGGGAUAACUUCGGGAAACCGGAGCUAAUACCGGAUAACAUGUUGAACCGCAUGGUUCAACAGUGAAAGACGGUCUUGCUGUCACUUAUAGAUGGAUCCGCGCCGCAUUAGCUAGUUGGUAAGGUAACGGCUUACCAAGGCAACGAUGCGUAGCCGACCUGAGAGGGUGAGCGGCCACACUGGAACUGAGACACGGUCCAGACUCCUACGGGAGGCAGCAGUAGGGAAUCUUCCGCAAUGGGCGAAAGCCUGACGGAGCAACGCCGCGUGAGUGAAGAAGGUCUUCGGAUCGUAAAACUCUGUUAUUAGGGAAGAACAAAUGUGUAAGUAACUAUGCACGUCUUGACGGUACCUAAUCAGAAAGCCACGGCUAACUACGUG